GAUGGUGUAGUUCAGUCGGUAGAACGGUGGACUGUUAAUCCAUAUGUCGCAGGUUCAAGUCCUGCCACCAUCGCCA
rnacentral:tRNA from 5 species